rnacentral:tRNA from 7 species
GCGGGUGUAGCUCAAUGGUAGAGCAUCAGCUUCCCAAGCUGAGGGUUGCGGGUUCGAUCCCCGUCACCCGCUCCA